CUCUCGGUAGCCAAGUUGGUUUAAGGCGCAAGACUGUAAUCGAAAAUUUGUAAUCUUGAGAUCGGGCGUUCGAAUCGCCCCCGAGAGA
rfam:Lachancea mirantina genome assembly, chromosome: H